rnacentral:tRNA from 2 species
GGGCCCGGAGCCUAUGAGAUACAGGCAGCCGACUUUUAAUCGGCAGAUAGCGGGUUCAAAUCCCGUCGGGCCCG